UCAGGUAUAUUUCUAUUGCUAUUCGGCCAUUCUAUGUGGCUGCACAAUCGACAUCCUAUGUGGCAAACUUUUAAAUUUUAUUUUUAAACCAAAAGUAUAAUUAACGUGUUUUUCCCAAAAAGAGCCCAACUUUUCAUCUUUCCAAUACCAUAAAGAAUGGAUCUACAGAGUACAUUUCAAUCUCUCUCUCUCACCUUAUCCACCGUCGCACUCCGACGGCGGCACCACCGAAAAUUAAAGCCUCAUCUUCUCUGAUAACUUUUGCUAACUUCUUUAAAGAAUAUUGAAUUGAAAAAUUGGUUGCGUCAACCCAAAGGCUGAAUCUCUUUCUUUUUCUUAACUCACCCGUACUCCGACUACAACCACCACCGAUUGCAACUCAUGGGCAGAAGAUUUAUAGGUGCUCGAUUGUUUGAUUUGCCAAGUUUCUCCAAAAGAAGGCGUGGAUGAAUUUAUAGACGCUGCUGCAAAUUAUGAAUGCUAUCAGUGAACGUUGCUGCAAAUUGAUCAAGAAUGCAUUACAUUUUGAACUACUUUUUUGUAGUUUCUCUUUGACCAAAUCAUUCACUUCUAAAUGCUUGUCCUCUCUUAUGUGUACGAAUUCUUGAUAUUCUGUGGAAUUAAAGAGUGUAUAAUGCCUAGCUUCUCGUGUUUAUUAAGUCGACACCAUUCUGUGAAAUUAAACAGUAACAAUAACUAGUUAAAAAGUAAA